AAAAACCUAAAACACAAUUCUCACUUCUUCCCCAUCGGUGACUUUCUGUACCUCCUUCUUCGUCGUCUCUCAUUUGCCGUAGUCUUUCUCUUCUCUCCUUCGUCGUCAUCUCUUGUCUUCUCCGUCGUGUAUCCUUCGCAAUAGUUUCUUCUCUUAUCUCCAUUGUCGUCGUCUCUCUUCGUUACUCCUUCUAUGUAGUUCUUUGUUCUGAGAUGAUGAAGAAUCAUAGAGAAUAAAAGCUCAUUACAGAACAGUUAAAAUUAUACAUAAUUGUGCUUUCAUCAAUCAUCAGCAAAAAGGGUAAGUUAUUAUGAUUGAAGUUGUAUUUGGUUUGGGCAAGUUAUAGUUUCCAAUUUCUUGUACCAGUUUACCUUUUCAUGAUGUUGGAACCAAUUUGUGUGAUUUGUUUAGUGUUAUGAUGCUUGAAUCUUGGGUUUUGUUAUGUAUGAGAGUCUUGAUUAUGUGUAAAACAUGGACUUGGAUUUUACCAUUCUAAAUUUUUUUAAGAAAAAUUGCAAAUUGUUUAAAAUCUUGGUGCUUUUAUCUUACUGUGAUACUUGCGCUGUUUUAAGACUUUUGAGGAUUAUUUUUGUUUGAGUUUAGAGAAGUUUGUGAGUAAAAUGAGAAAAUGCAGGUAAUUUGCAGUUAUGAUGAUCUUAGUGACGUACUUAUGUAACCUUCAUUCAACAAGUAUGAGACUUGGAGGAAUUGAACUGAAUUGAAUUGUUUGUGUUUUGUUGAUGUUGAUAAGGUGAGACAAGGUUAAGUUGGAAUUGACGACUGUGGCUAGGUGUGGAUCCAAGAGCUGCAGUCAUGAGCGUAAAGAAGGGCUGGAGUUCAUGAUUAUAAAUUUAUUAUACUUUAUAAAUUCUCAGAUUUUCAUUGGUGGUCUCUCUGUCCUACCUUUUGUUAUUUUGUUCUUUAAUUGUAGGUGUUGCUACAUGCUACAGUUUUUUGGACGACGAAGGGAUGAGUGAAGCCAUACUUGCGACUGAGAUGACACAUAGAGGAGAAGAAACAGAGCUAAUAAAUGGAGUAGUUGAGGGCAAGGGGAAGAUCACGCUGAAGUGCUCAGAAAAAGAGCGAAGUUUUCUGGUUUCAAAAGCUCCUCAUCUUCUCCGAUGAUGUUGUUUAGUGUUCUUGCAUUCUUAGGAGACUUGGAUGAUUGAACUGAAUUGAAUUGAUUGUUUUGUGUUGAUGCUAAUAUGGUGGAAUUGACAAAUGUGGGGAUCCAAGAUCUGUAGUUAUGAGAGAGCUUAAAGAACUAAAGUUCUUGAUUAUAAUACUCACAUCUGUAUUUGUAAUAGCAAAAAUCUUUGUGUGUAUUAAUUGAUUUUAAAAUAUUG
rnacentral:lncRNA from 1 species